UACGGAGGGGGCUAGCGUUGCUCGGAAUUACUGGGCGUAAAGCGUGCGCAGGCGGUUAUGCAAGACAGAUGUGAAAUCCCCGGGCUCAACCUGGGAACUGCAUUGGUGACUGGCAGGCUUUGAGUGUGGCAGAGGGAGGUAGAAUUCCACGUGUAGCAGUGAAAUGCGUAGAGAUGUGGAGGAAUACCGAUGGCGAAGGCAGCCUCCUGGGCCAACACUGACGCUCAUGCACGAAAGCGUGGGGAGCAAACAGG
rnacentral:rRNA from 1 species